UAUCGAAUUUAAAUUCAUUGAGGGAAGAUGGAAUAGCAGUCUAGGAUUGUCGCUGGCUCUCUACAUGUGUGCAUGUGCACGUCCUUGCUAUCUCUGUCGACCUUUCAACAUACACACACCUGUGCACCUAUUGUAGGUCCUCGCAAGAGGAUCUAUGUAUUUUCACUUCACAACCCUAUCGUAUGUCCAUAGAAUGUUAUCUCAAAGACCUUCCGAGCUUGAUUGAUCGGUUGGUCAAUGAAAUAAAAAUCAUAUACAACUUUCAGCAACGGAUCUCUUGGCUCUCGCAUCGAUGAAGAACGCAGCGAAUUGCGAUAAGUAAUGUGAAUUGCAGAUUUCCAGUGAAUCAUCGAAUCUUUGAACGCACCUUGCGCUCCUUGGUAUUCCGAGGAGCAUGCCUGUUUGAGUGUCAUUAAAUUCUCAAGGAGUUUGUUCUCUUUGGAUUUUGGAGUGUUUGCUGGCUUGAAUCUUGUUCAGCUCCUCUCAAAUGCAUUAGCUUGUGCUUCUGUGGAAUCAGGCUUUGGUUUGAUAGUAUCUAUGUCAUUGCCUUUGAAACAAAUGAGCUAGCUUCUAAUCAUUUUAUUUUUGACAUUUUG
rnacentral:misc_RNA from 1 species